CUUGGGGCAAGAUGGCUGCGCCCACUGGCUUUGCCGGAGGUGGGGAGGAGGGGCUGUUACUCACACGUGCUGGUCUGGGUUCAGAUCAGUUCUGUUCUCUGGUCUUCCAAGGCCCUUGAUUUAUGGGGUCCCCGUGGACGGAAGCUUUCCCCCCGUCGGGUCUCCACUGAAUCAGCGGCAGGAGUCCUGGAUGAUCCCCCGGUCGUGCGGCCCCUCCCCCGCUCCUUCCCGACCCGCGCCGCAGCGAUCGCAGACUCUAGGGGAGGGAGCGAUGUUCUCUCCUACCGUUCCAGCGCCUCCGAGGGUGUAAGCAAGGUGGCAGCUACAAAAACCAGGGCACCAGGCAUGUGCACAAGCUUCUUCCAGUUUGCACCAGUGAUCUGAAUUGGGCCAGAAGGAGAAUGUGGAGAUGGUGCCUGCCAGCAUCCUUGAUCUCCAGGAAUCAUUAAAAUAUACAUCCACUCCAGUAUACCAAGAAGCUCAAUUCCACAAGACUGAGGUCUAUGCUGACUCCAUCUUCUGUUCAGAAUAUUAUUCAGCCACACCACUGUUGCUUCAUCCCAAGACAUUCAUCACCUCUUCCUUCUGAGUAUUCUUUCUGUGGCUAAUGACGAUCGUGUCAAGAGAUUGCAGUCCUGGGCUCUGCCAUCUCAGAAGAAGUCUUGCCCUGCUGAGAAGCAUCAUGGACCUGCACGUUUCGUGAUAUCAGCACAAAGGUGGCAGAUCGUUCCUGGAAUUUCACGCACAUGAUUCUCUGAGACCAGGAAAGACGUCUUACCAGCAGCAGCAGUGCAGACAGCCCUGCCAGCCGCCUCCUGUGUGCCCACCUAAAUGUCCUGGGCUGUGCCCACCACCAAGGUUCCCAGAGUCUUGUCCACUUCAUGCCCACCUGUGCAGCCACGCCCACCUGUCAGCAGAAAUGUUCACCCAAGAGCAAGUAACAGCACCAGAAUUCAUCAGGAUCAUGAAGUGACAGGAAAAGUUAUCUUUUAGACUCUGAACUCAAUCUUCCUUUUGAACUGUGUCAUGAUGACAGAUGGCAUCUUGACAUUUCCCUAACCCUCGACUUCUCACCUGCUUGAAAUGACUGUUGUCACAGAGAACACUUUGUUCCUGAAGUUGACAUCACCCUGUUGGAAGCCAUGUCCCUGCCUCCGGCAUGUGGCUAAGAUACAGUAAUGCUCAGCAAUGCCAGGGUUCCCAAAGCCUUAGAAAAAUGAGUACAAGAUCGAGACCAAUACUCUUGCAAAUGUAGCAUCACAGGCUUUCUCUUUGUUGUUUGUUAUUUGGAAAAUGAUUUCUAGCCUCUGAACAAACAUGUCUUUUCUUCUUUAAUAAAGCAC
rnacentral:lncRNA from 1 species